AACUAGUAUAAAAGCGGAGGCCUCAAUUCAUUUAUUUAUUUAUCUAGACUACAAGAGUUCGUUUAACAUGAAGAGGAUACUUGUGUUGCUAGUUAUACUGAACGUGUUGUUGCUGUUGCUGGGAUCCGGUGAAGCGAGAGCAGCUAAAAUGAAAUUCUGUAGAACAAGAAUAUUCGGCAAAUGCAUUGAGUAAAUGCGUUCAAAUUGUUAAUAAAAAUAAAUAUUACAGAUUUAUUAGGACAAUGUUUUUAAUCGAAAUGAAUAGAAGUUUUUCAAUAUUUUUUUAAUAAAUAACAAUAUUGAUUAAACCAAAGCGA